rnacentral:rRNA from 1 species
GAUGAACGCUGGCGGCAUGCCUAACACAUGCAAGUCGAUCGGUAAGGCUCUUCGGAGUACACGAGAGGCGGACGGCUGAGUAACGCGUAGGAACACACCCUGCAGUGAGGGAUAAGACACCGAAAGGUGUUCUAAUACCGCAUACGGUCUUCGGAUUAAAGCAUUUAUGCGCUGAAGGAGUGGCCUGCGUCAUAUUAGAUAGUUGGUGAGGUAAUGGCUCACCAAGUCGAUGAUGUGUAGCUGGUCUGAGAGGAUGAUCAGCCAGACUGGAACUGAGACACGGUCCAGACUCCUACGGGAAGCAGCAGUGAGGAAUAUUUCGCAAUGAGCGAAAGCUUGAUGGAGCAAUGCCGCGGGCAGGAUGAAGGCCCUCGGGUUGUAAACUGCUUUUAUAAGAGAAGAUUAUGACGGUAACUUAUGAAUAAGGGACGGCUAACUACGUG